rnacentral:rRNA from 1 species
AUGCAACUUAUGCAAGUAAGUGGAGGAUGCCCAAAAGAUUCAGAAGGGUGUGAUGACUGCUUUGAAAAGGCAUCACUUCCUAACAUAAGCGAAGAGGAGAAGAGGAAGAUCCUUCACUUUGUGAUUAUUGGUGGUGGACCCACUGGGGUUGAAUUUGGUGUAGAGCUGCAUGUUUUUCUUAUCGAAGAUAUGGUGAAGCUAUAUCCUGCAAUUGAAGAAUUUUUGAAGAUAAGAAUUAUUCAGCAAGGAGAACAUAUAUUGAAUAUGUAG